GGUAGUGGUUGAUUGGUUAACGCUCCUUUUGGAGUGAGGAAGGUCGACUCAUCCGUCAGCAAUGACGUCCCUGCCUGUUAUGGGCAAUUCCGAAAGGAUGGGGUCCUGAACAGAAACGAUUACCUUUUAUUAGGAUGAAACGGCGGGAUUGAUGCAAGCUCUUUUGAGUGCUUAGGCUAAUACCAACCGCAGAUGAGCUUUCUCAUCACAACGCGGAAACAGAAAGUCGCCUACUUUCCACUGCC
rnacentral:RNase_P_RNA from 1 species